rnacentral:piRNA from 1 species
UCCUGUAGGCUAGCUUAGACCUGAGCAGAU